rnacentral:rRNA from 1 species
CCUACGGGGGGCAGCAGUGGGGAAUCUUGCGCAAUGGCCGAAAGGCUGACGCAGCGACGCCGCGUGGAGGAUGACGCCCUUCGGGGUGUAAACUCCUGUUGCCCGGGACGAAUGCCUGUUUUGCCAGGAGUGACGGUACCGGGUGAGGAAGCACCGGCUAACUCUGUGCCAGCAGCCGCGGUAAUACAGAGGGUGCGAGCGUUGUCCGGAAUCACUGGGCGUUAAGGGCGCGUAGGUGGCGGGGUGAGCGGAAAGUCCGGGGCGCAACCCCGGAUCGGCCAUGCGAACUGCCGCGCUGGAGCACGGUAGAGGAACAUGGAAGUCCGGGUGUAGCGGUGGAAUGCGUAGAGAUCCGGAAGAACACCGGUGGCGAAGGCGGUGUGCUGGGCCGUUGCUGACACUGAGGCGCGACAGCGUGGGGAGCAAACAGGAUUAGAUACCCGGGUAGUC